rnacentral:tRNA from 1 species
UCCCUGGUGGCUCAGAUGGUAAAGCAUCUGCCUGCAAUGCAGGAGACCUGGGUUUGAUUCCUGGGUCGGGAA